UACGGGGGGAGCAAGCGUUGUUCGGAUUUACUGGGCGUAAAGGGCGCGUAGGCGGCCUGUGCAAGUCAGUUGUGAAAUCUCCGAGCUUAACUCGGAACGGUCAACUGAUACUGCUCGGCUAGAGUGCGGAAGGGGCAACUGGAAUUCUUGGUGUAGCGGUGAAAUGCGUAGAGAUCCGGAGGAACACCAGUGGCGAAGGCGACACGCUGGGCCGUACCUGACACUGAUGCGCGACAGCAUGGGGAGCAAACAGG
rnacentral:rRNA from 1 species